rnacentral:rRNA from 1 species
AAUGAACGUUGGCGGCGUGGAUUAGGCAUGCAAGUCGUACGCACAGCUUCGGCUGUGAGUGGCGCAAGGGUGAGUAAUGCGAAGGUAACCAACCCUGGAGUUGGGCAUAACCGCGGGAAACUGCGGGUAAUUCCCAGCGAUGUCGCGAGAUGGCAUCAUCUUGCGACCAAAGGUGUGAUUCCGCUCUAGGACGGGCCUUCGUGGUAUUAGGUAGUUGGUGAGGUAACGGCUCACCAAGCCGACGAUGCCUACCGGGUGUGAGAGCAUGACCCGGCACACUGGAACUGAGACACUGUCCAGACACCUACGGGUGGCUGCAGUCGAGAAUCUUCGGCAAUGGGCGAAAGCCUGACCGAGCGACGCCGCGUGAGGGAAGAAGGCCUUCGGGUUGUAAACCUCUUUUCGAGUAGGAGAGGGCCGUGCAGAGCGGUCUUUGACCUAUUCUAGGAAGAAGCUUGGGCUAAGUUCGUGCCAGCAGCCGCGGUAAU